rnacentral:rRNA from 1 species
AGAACGAACGCUGGCGGCAGGCUUAACACAUGCAAGUCGAGCGCCCCGCAAGGGGAGCGGCAGACGGGUGAGUAACGCGUGGGAACAUACCCUCCGGUUCGGAAUAGCUCAGGGAAACUUGGAUUAAUACCGGAUACGGCCUAGCGGCGAAAGAUUCAUCGCCGGAGGAUUGGCCCGCGUCUGAUUAGCUAGUUGGUGGGGUAAUGGCCCACCAAGGCGACGAUCAGUAGCUGAUCUGAGAGGAUGAUCAGCCACAUUGGGACUGAGACACGGCCCAAACUCCUACGGGAGGCAGCAGUGGGGAAUAUUGGACAAUGGGCGCAAGCCUGAUCCAGCCAUGCCGCGUGAGUGAUGACGGCCUUAGGGUUGUAAAGCUCUUUCGCUAGGGACGAUAAUGACGGUACCUAGACAAGAAGCCCGGCUAACUUCGCGCCAGCAGCCGC